GCAUACCGACCGUACGGGUNAAAGGUGGGGGACCUUCGGGCCUCACGCGAUGAGAUGAGCCGAUGCCGGAUUAGCUAGUUGGCGGGGUAAACGGCCCACCAAGGCGACGAUCCGUAGCUGGUCUGAGAGGAUGAUCAGCCACACUGGAACUGAGACACGGUCCAGACUCCUACGGGAGGCAGCAGGUGGGGAAUAGUUGGACAAUGGGGGCAACCCUGAUCCAGCCAUGCCGCGUGUGUGAAGAAGGCCUUCGGGUUGUAAAGCACUUUGUUGGGGAAGAAACCGGCCGGGUUAAUACCCUGGUUGAAUGACGGCACCCAAAGAAUAAGCACCGGCUAACUUCGUG
rnacentral:rRNA from 1 species